rnacentral:rRNA from 1 species
ACGCCAAUACGCCUCCGCUAUUUGGUGGAUAUCUUGGCUUGGGAACCGAUGAAGAGCGUGACAAGCUGCGAAAAGCUCGGGUUAGUCGCAUGAAGACGCUGACCCCGAGAUCCUCGAAUAGGACAUCCACUUGCGGCCUAAUAAUCCGCAAGAUUCCCACAUGGGAAAGGGAACCCUGAGAAGUAAAACAUUUUAGUAUCAGGAGGAAAAGAAAACAAUAGUGAUUCCGUGAGUAACGGCGAGCGAAAGCGGAAUAGGUCAAACCGAAUCCCCUAGGGAAACCUAGGGGAGAUGUGGUGUGUGGACCUCGUACGACCUCUCUAGAGAAUAUGAAUACCCCUGGAAAGUUGAGCCAUAGAGCGUGAUAGCCGCGUAAUAGUAAUCUAGAAGGUUGCUGCGAGAGUUCCCGAGUAAUGCGGGAUGGUUUUCUCGUAUGAAUAAACCAGAUACACGCUGGUAAAUCUAAAUAUAACCCAAGACCGAUAGUGAAAUAGUAGCGUGAGCGAAAGAUGAAAAGUAACCCGGAAGGGCCGUGAAAAGUGCUUGAAACCAAAUAGCUUAGUAAGGAUGCAGCCUGAAAGGAUAGAUUCUGAACGAAUGAGGUCCGGUGACGGAUCAUCAAAGUUUAGAGGACUAGGGUUGCAUCAUCAGUCUGGAAUCAUUGGCCAGGGAGUUUACAGUAGUAGCGAGCUUAAGUGGAUCACCCACGAAGGCGAAGGGAAACCGAUAUUCUUGCAACCUGUCUAUCACAUUAGGAAGGUCUACUCGUUUAUUUGUGGUUUUGCCACUCUGAUAACGUUUAGCGAAUCCUUCUAAGGAGAUAGGCCAGAAGAAUGGUCUCAAAGGGCCAAAAGUUUCUGCUGUAAUACCCGAAGCCGGUCGAUCUAUUCCUGGUCAAGAUGAAGUCGUUCGAAAGGAUGAUGGAGGUCUGCACCAGUGAUGAUGUACAAUUCUCUUGGAUGAACUGGGAAUAGGAGCAAAAGGCUAAUCUAGAUCGGUGAUAGCUGGUUCUCCCCGAAGUUGGUGUCAGCCAAGUCUCAGACGAAGUCGCCAGUGACGUAGAGCACUAAUUGCGAGGCAAGGGGAAGAAAUUCCUCCCCCCGCUCUUAAACUCCGAAUUUGCUGGCACUGUAGACUCUGGGAAACGGGUUGGUGGGCGUAAAGUCCAUCGCCGAGAAGGGAACAACCUAGACUUGGGUUAAGGUCCCUAAAUGCAGGUUAAGUGUUAAACGAAAGGGCGUUAUAUUUCUAAAACAGCAAAAGGAUAGGUAUAGAAGUAACCACUCCCUAACGAGUGUGUAACAACUCAUUUG